GGACACCAAGUGUGUGUGAAGGACCCAACCAUGGCCUGGAUGAUGAUUCUACUCAUGCUCCUCUCUUAUGGAUCAGGGGUGGAUCCUCAGAAUAUGGUGACCCAGGAGCCCUCAUUCUCUGUGUCUUCCAAUGGAACAGUGACACUCACCUGUGGCCUUAGCUCUGGAUCAGUCUCCACAGGUUACUACCCCAAAUGGUGCCAGCAGAUGCCAGGACAUGCUCCCCACACAAUUAUCUACUACACACACAUCCGCCCCUCUGGGGUCCCUGAUCGAUUCUCUGGUUCCAUCCUUGGAAACAAAGCUGCCCUCACCAUCACAGGGGCUCAGAUUGACAACGAAGCUGAUUAUUACUGUGCACUCUUUAUGGGUAAUGGCAUUCACACAGUGAUCUAA